CCUGGAAGUUGUGAGACAUGGAUUUGCCUUUUCAUUUUUAAGGUUAUGGAUACCAGGCAGCACCCACUUUCAGCAGUGAGCUGAGCACAAUACCCUCCAGCAUCUCCUUGAUGAAUCCAGAGCUGGAUUCGACCUUCCACUCUUAUGUCAAGACAUGAGUAAGGACACAUCUGCAGUUUACACUCUGACCCCAUUCAGAAGCCACUGACCAAUUCAAAAAGGAUCAUAGAGCUCCAGAUUCAGCAGUUUGGUUGUGAACUGGCAUAUGAGAUGGGCUCAGGAAGCCCUGGAAAGACCUGGGAGAGCUGAGAGCACUCAGACCCAUCCAGGGAGCUCCCAGAU
ensembl:lncRNA